GACGAACGCUGGCGGCGUGCUUAACACAUGCAAGUCGAACGGAAAGGCCCUGCUUGCAGGGUCCUCGAGUGGCGAACGGGUGAGUAACACGUGGGUGAUCUGCCCUGCACUUCGGGAUAAGCCUGGGAAACUGGGUCUAAUACCGGAUAGGAGCCAUUUUGAGUGUGAUGGUUGGAAAGUUUUUUCGGUGUAGGAUGAGCUCGCGGCCUAUCCGCUUGUUGGUGGGGUAAUGGCCUACCAAGGCGGCGGCGGGUAGCCGGCCUGGGUGGGUGGCCGGCCACAGUGGCACUGAGACUGGGACCCGACACCUACGGGUGGGAGCAGCGGGGGAGAUUGAUCAAGGGGCGCAAGCCUGAUGCUGCGACGCCGCGUGCGGGAGGACGGUCUUCGGGUUGGAAUCGCAUUUCGCUAUGGACGGAGCUUUUUGUGACGGUACCUAGAGAAUAAGCACCGGCUAACUACGUG
rnacentral:rRNA from 1 species